GCUGGGCGCGGUGGCUCACGCCUGUAAUCCUAGCACUUUGGGAGGCCAAGGUGGGUGGAUCACCUGAGGUCAGGAGUUCAAGACCAGCCUGACCAUCAUGGUGAAACCCCAUCUUAU
ensembl:misc_RNA Metazoa_SRP Metazoan signal recognition particle RNA